UCACGAGCUGCAGGUUCCCUU
rnacentral:miRNA from 1 species